rnacentral:rRNA from 1 species
UACGUAGGGUCCAAGCAUUAUCCGGAAUUAUUGGGCGUAAAGAGCGUGUAGGUGUUCAUACGAGUCGGUCGUUAAAUCUUUGAGCUCAACUCAAAGACUGCGAGCGAUACUGUAUGAAUUGAGGUUUGCAGGGGCUAGCAGAAUUUCUGGAGUAGGGGUGAAAUCCGUUGAUACCAGAAGGAAUACCAAUGGCGAAGGCAGCUAGCUGGGCAAUACCAGACACUGAGACGCGAAAGCGUGGGGAGCAAACGGG